rnacentral:rRNA from 1 species
CUCGUAGGCGGCCAACUAAGUCACACGUGAAAUCCCCAGGCUUAACCUGGGAACUGCGUGUGAUACUGGAUGGCUUGAAUUCGGGAGAGGGAUGCAGAAUUCCAGGUGUAGCGGUGAAAUGCGUAGAUAUCUGGAGGAAUACCGGUGGCGAAGGCGGCAUCCUGGACCGACAUUGACGCUGAGGAGCGAAAGCUAGGGGAGCGAAACG